rnacentral:lncRNA from 1 species
GUCGGGUAGAGCCAGCCAGGGGUCUGAUGGGCAAGGCUGGAAUGUGUGGGAGAUGGUAACAGGGUGCUCUCUCCUGUUCCAGCUGCCAGUGCCUCAAGCUCACCGCUGGAAGCCCUGGAAGCCUGUCUGAAGGGCAUUCCCCCAAAUGGGUCGUCACCUUCCCAGCUGCCACCCACUUCUUGUUCCCAGAACCCCCAGCCAGGAGACUCUAGGUCUCAGAAGCCUGAACUGCAACCCCAUAGAUCACACAGUGAAGAAGCGACCAGAGAGCCUGUUCUGCCUCUGGGUCUGCAGAGCUGUGUGAGAGAUGGCCCCACCAGGCCCCUGGCCCCCCGAGGAACCCCCACCAGCUUCUCCUCAUCCAGCAGCACCGACUGGGACCUGGAUUUUGGGAGUCCUGUGGGGAACCAGGGGCAGCAUCCUGGAAAAGGAAGCCCACCAGGAAGCUCCCCGCUGCAGGGUCUGGAGAAUUGUCUCAAGGAGAUACCUAUGCCUGCGCUGCGGCCUGCCUGGCCCUGCUCCUCAGCAGCAGACAGGGGACCGAGGAGAGCAGAGCCCAGGAACUGGACAGCAGACAAGGAAGGACUGAGGGCCGAGGCCCGCGAGUCAGCCCGUCUCGGGCAGAGUAGGGGAGAAGCGCCCACCCGGAGCCUCCAUCUGGUCAGCCCACAGGUGUUCACCUCCAGCUGCGUCCCCGCCUGCCACCAGCGGGGGUUCAAAGACCCUGGGGCCACCAGGCCAGGAGUGUGGAGGUGGCUCCCAGAGGGGUCUGCCCCCAAGCCCUCCCCGCUGCACUGCCUGGAGAGCGCCCUGAGGGGGAUCUUGCCUGUAAGGCCCUUGCGCUUCGCCUGCGUGGCAGGCCCCAGCCCCAGCCCCAGCCCCGGCUCCAGCUCGAGCUUCAGCGGCUCUGAAGGAGAAGACCCGAGGCCAGAGCCUGAGCUCUGGAAGCCGCUCCCCCAGGAGAGGGACCGCCUUCCCAGCUGUAAGCCUCCUGUCCCUCUGUCCCUAUGUCCUGGUGGGACCCCUGCUGGCAGCAGUGGCAGCAGCCCUGGUGAAGACCCCAGGAGAACAGAGCCCAGGUACUGCAGCGGCCUCGGUGCAGG